AAACUUUUAACAACGGAUCUCUUGGUUCUGGCAACGAUGAAGAACGCAGCGAAAUGCGAUAAGUAAUGUGAAUUGCAGAAUUCAGUGAAUCAUCGAAUCUUUGAACGCACAUUGCGCCCCCUGGUAUUCCGGGGGGCAUGCCUGUUCGAGCGUCAUUUC
rnacentral:rRNA from 1 species